GUGAGGAAUAUUGCGCAAUGGAGGCAACUCUGACGCAGCCAUGCCGCGUGCAGGAAGAAGGCGCUACGCGUUGUAAACUGCUUUUAACCGGGAAGAAACCCCAGGACGUGUCCUGGGUUGACGGUACCGGAGGAAUAAGCACCGGCUAACUUCGUGCCAGCAGCCGCGGUAAUACGAAGGGUGCAAGCGUUAUCCGGAUUCAUUGGGUUUAAAGGGUGCGUAGGCGGAGCGUUAAGUCAGUGGUGAAAUCCUGCAGCGUAACUGUAGACUUGCCAUUGAUACUGGCGCUCUUGAGUGCGCUUGAAGUGGGCGGAAUGUGCCGUGUAGCGGUGAAAUGCUUAGAUAUGGCACAGAACACCAAUUGCGAAGGCAGCUCACUAAGGCGAUACUGACGCUGAGGCACGAAAGCGUGGGGAUCGAACAGGAUUAGAUACCCCGGUAGUCC
rnacentral:rRNA from 1 species